AAUUCAAGGUCAAAAUCAUUGCUAUAUUUUGGAUGGUUAUUUUGGUGGUAAGUAGUUGUGACCACUUGUGAUUUAGUGUGAAAAGGCCUACUUUGUGGCACAAUUUAAUUUAGAUGAUUUGAAUAAUAUAAUAAUAUUUUUAAGCCAUAUUGUAUCUUUUUCAGGAUUACUGUAAUUGAAGGAACUAUGGGAAAGUUCUCCUUUCCAAGGCUCAUCAUAAGAAUGGUUAGAAUCUCUUUUCUCUCACCACCCCCAUAGUCAAAACUCCAGUGAUUUAAAAUCAUCACUUUGACAUAUGAGCUUUUCUAAGAUUGAAAAUAACAAGCUUGUAUCAUGAUAACCUCAUUUCUGACUGCAUGUUUGUCAUCAUUUUCAUUUCUAGCCAUGGGCAAAUCGGACUGCACAGGAUGAUUUCUGCACAGGAACUAGUGAACUCCACAGGCCCAGAACACACCAGCCUCACAACUCCUCACAACUCCCCAGCCUUAAUGUGUGUAGGCAGGACAAGGAGAACACCGAUUCAAUCCAGAAGAAGAGGAAAAAGAAGAGGCUAAAUGAGAAGGGAACCCAGGUUGAACUAGGCAUGCGGGAGGAUAUCCAUGACCUUGACCUCGCCCAUUGGAGAUUGGCUAGAGAGACAUGGAGAACUGAGCGAGGAAACAUGAGGGAGAUUAAGGCGCUGUAUGGAGAAAUAUUUAGGCUGCACCAACUCUUGGAGGAGAUUGGGGUGGAUAAAGGGGUGAUCAAGCAGCGCUCCACCUCCUCCAUUAUUUGUCCCGUCUCCCCGACACUGCCAGCUUUCCCCUGGUACAACCACCACAGGUACCUCGCCAACAGCCAAUCGGAGCCUGACCAGCAUGCUGCCGGCACCCAGAAGGACCCACCUAAGAAACACUCAAUCUUUCCCCCUCUGGACACACAGAGCUGCACCUCCCCUGAUAAAUGGCCUCAUUCUCCGUCCAAGACGUCAUACCCACACACUUCACACCGAUUUGCUGUC